rnacentral:rRNA from 1 species
AUUGAACGCUGGCGGCAGGCCUAACACAUGCAAGUCGAGCGAGCGGCGGACGGGUGAGUAAUGUCUGGGAAACUGCCUGAUGGAGGGGGAUAACUACUGGAAACGGUAGCUAAUACCGCAUACCAUCAGAUGUGCCCAGAUGGGAUUAGCUAGUAGGUGGGGUAACGGCUCACCUAGGCGACGAUCCCUAGCUGGUCAGAGAGGAUGACCAGAAAACAUGGAACUUAGACACGGUCCAGACCCCAACGGUAGGAAGCAGUGGGAAAUAUUGCACAAUGGGCGCAAGCCUGAUGCAGCCAUGCCGCGUGUGUGAAGAAGGCCUUCGGUUUGUAAAGCACUGUCAGCGGGGAGGCGUUACCCGCAGAAGAAGCACCGGCUAACUCCGUGCCAGCCGCCGCGGUAAUUC